AAUGCAAGGUUUAUUCAUGCUCCGAAAAACCCAAGGCUUUUUCUUUUCUCUUCUGCUCUCUCUUCCUGUAAGAAACAGCCCUGAAACGAGCUAAGGAAAAAAGAAUACAUACAUGUAUAUGGAAAAAAAGCAGGAAUCAUAAUGCUGAAACAAAACAAUCAGGAAAAAAGAAAGCCAAGGGGCUUAUUUUUUUUGCAGUGGGGACAGCAGGUGGGAGCUUUCCAAGCCAGACAAAGGAAACCUGAGCAGGAAUUGUGGUGAAGGGACAAACCCAAGGCAAGAGGACCGUGCGGUCACCUCCUCCUCUGGAGCAGGCAGCUGGGACCGGGAUAGACAGACAUUUUGCAAGACUCAACACCUGGAGCAGUGCUAACCAGGUGGGGCAGCUCCGAUGUCUGCCAAGCUCUACGUCCUCAUCAGCUGGCCCGAUGGCAGCCGUGUGAUCAACAUCGAGAACAUCAAGGAGCCUCGGAAGCCGUUCCACCUCUAUGUGGUGGGCGAGCAGGUGUUGGCCCGCUGCCCUGGCUUUAGUGGGCUGUACUGGGGGAUUGUGGAGGGCAUAAGUGAGCAUAAAGACAUUUUAGAGAAAAGGCUGCUGGAAGAUAGACAGCUUCUGGAGAAGUUAAAAGAAGAACCAGCCAUCCAUAGCAUGAUGCCACCCCAGUCAAAAAAAUCAAGGAAAACCUUUCCAAAAUGGACCCCAGGGAACGCAUCCAGGAAAUACCAUGGUGACAGGACCUGUCCUGCCAAGCGGGCUGCCGAGGCAGGCCUGCCUCGUGACGCUGGCAGCUCCUCUGUCAUCAAGGAGAGAUGUGCCCUGGGCAGUGCAACGGGAAGUCCCUGCUCGCUGGCGGUGCCCCAUCACGCUGCCAGUGCCUUCAACGCACCACCCACCUUUGUGGCCCUGGCUGUGCAGGGGACUUCCCAGAGCGAAGAGGACAGGCCUGGCACAGCCACCAGAGACUACUUGGCCCUGGCAGUGAAGAGGAAAUCAGAUGGCAUCUUGUCUCAGUGCCAGCAGCACAUCUGUCUGAACAGUCGUGAAGAACGAAAGCUGGAAACUUUGCAAGAGGCAGAUGACUCUGAGAGAGUUCAGAAAAAUUUUGUUCCUGGUGAAACGGAAAGGGCAGAGAAGAUUGAGCAGCUGGAGAGGAUUGUCUUGGACCUCCAACAGGAUGUCCUCGCUCUGAAGAAGAAGGUGCAGAGGCUGGAAUCCUUGUCCUUCCAGGAGGAACCUCACCGACAGCCAUGCGAGGUGGUGGAGCUCUUCAAUGGCUACACAAAGGAACAGCUCAAAGAGGCCAUCCGCUUUGACCAGAAAAUCAGCACAGCCUGCAAGACACUACUCUACAAGCUCUUCACAUCCGACUAUAUCCAGAGCCACUCCAUCACGGGGCGGAGGGGCAAUACUUUCCGAGAGGCAAAGCCCAUGAUGGAUGAACGAUGCAUCAAAAUCAUUCGGGUGCUGUUGAAACAGAAGUUUGGAGAUCACCUCAGUGACACAGUGAUCACAGAGAAGAUACAAAAUGUGCAGAAAGCCUUGAGGCAGAAAUUUAAGACAGAAUGUCUCUGAUGCUUGGAGGAUUUGGUGUCUCUGCUCCUACCGCCCUCUCCAGUGUACCUGAGCAGCCCUCCAAGAAAAAGGCGAGUCCAUACUGCUUCUGUUUUGUAGAUUCCUCCCAGGGAACCAGCCCAAGUGAACUGUGCAUUAAACAUAUCACAAACCUUUCACUGCCAACCCUCUGCCUGCAGUAACCCCGCAGGAAGCUUGUCCAGCUUCGCUAGAACUUUGCACAUCUUCUGGCACUAUACAAGUCAUGUCUCCUCUGGUCUGCAUGCAGAUCUCACUCUGGGAUCCGUGUGUUUGGUGAACGCAUUCGAACGGCUUGAGAGUUCCUGUUGGAUCCGAACAUAGGUUGGUAAGCCAGUCUGGUUCCACCUUUCCUUCUGAAACAUGAUUCUGCAGACAUCUUGGCAACCAGAGAGUAAAACUGGGAUACAGUCAGGGCUGAGACUCUAGGAAACUUGAGGUCCUCUCUUUUCUUUCCUCUUACGCACUACAGAAAGUCUAUAUUUCAGCUCCAACUCAAAUGGACCCUUUUCACUUAUGUGCAUUUUCUCCCCCGUCUGACGAUCCUGCUUAUGAACGAGGAGGGCAGGAGCGGUAAGGGAGAAUCACCCCUGAACAAGGAAAAGGUUGUCACCACAUUUUUCCCAGGUGGGGAAAAAUGAGGACUGAGACACGGAUGCUUCGCAGGACUCCCCUUGCAGUAGCUCAGGGAGAAAGAUCAGCUUUGGGUGAGCAGUGUGACCUCAAAGAGAGAAGUGACCUCCACCUGCAGAUGGACUUUGUGUCACUCAAUAUAGCUUCUCCCUGCAUGGCCAGGGCUGCCAGCUUCUGCCUGUGGGAAAAUAUUAGCUUCCUUUGCUCCCAGCGAAUGCAUUUUACAAUUUCCUGCAGUAACAGAAAGGCAGACUCAAUAAAACAGCUCAAUAAAACCUUCA
rnacentral:lncRNA from 1 species